rnacentral:rRNA from 1 species
UCAGACGAUGCGUCAUGCAUAUCAAUAAGCGGAGGAAAAGAAACUAACAAGGAUUCCCCUAGUAACGGCGAGUGAAGCGGGAAGAGCUCAAAUUUGAAAUCUUAAAGGGUUUCCCUUUACGAAUUGUAGUUUAAAGAAGUGUUUUCUGUUGAGGUUUUGGUAAAAGUUCUUUGGAAUAGGACAUCAUAGAGGGAUGAGAAUCCCGUAUUUGACCUUUACUUUCAACUUUGUGAUACACUUUCAAAGAGUCGGAUUGUUUGGGAAUGCAGUCCAAAAUGGGUGGUAAAUUUCAUCUAAAGCUAAAUAUUGGCGAGAGACCGAUAGCGAACAAGUACCGUGAGGGAAAGAUGAAAAGAACUUUGAAAAGAGAGUUAAACAGUACGUGAAAUUGUCAAAAGGGAAGCGUUUGACACCAGUGUUGUUUUUCUGAAAAUCAAUUAAAGAACUGUUUAUGCUAAGUUGUUUAGACUUUAUCAGCUAUCUGUUUAGUUUUGAGCUUUUCUUUAAUGCACUUUUCAGUUAACAAGUCAACAUCAAUUUCUUUUGCUGUAAAAAAGCUUGAGGAAGGUGGCUUGAGAUUCGUCUUAAGUGUUUAUAGCCUCUUGCCUAUGCAGUCGGAGAGAUUGAGGUCUGCAGCGUAGAUCCUUCGGGGCUAAAUGCAUUUGUGCUAAGUUAUAGCAUUUUAUAGACAACUUGUUGACUAUGAUUUGUCUUGUAGCUUACUCGCUUAUGUUAUUUUACCUACGCUUAGGAUGUUGAAUCUGUGCGAGACUA